rnacentral:rRNA from 1 species
ACGAACGCUGGCGGCGUGCUUAACACAUGCAAGUCGAACGGUGAAGCGCCUUCCCUUUUGGUGGGUGUGGAUGAGUGGCGAACGGGUGAGUAACACGUGAGUAACCUGCCCCCUUCUUCUGGAUAACCGCAUGAAAGUGUGGCUAAUACGGGAUAUUCUGGGUCUGUCGCAUGAUGGGUCUGGGAAAGAUAUUGUUUCGGUGGGGGAUGGGCUCGCGGCCUAUCAGCUUGUUGGUGGGGUGAUGGCCUACCAAGGCGGUGACGGGUAGCCGGCCUGAGAGGGUGGACGGUCACACUGGGACUGAGACACGGCCCAGACUCCUACGGGAGGCAGCAGUGGGGAAUAUUGCACAAUGGGCGCAAGCCUGAUGCAGCGACGCCGCGUGAGGGAUGGAGGCCUUCGGGUUGUGAACCUCUUUCGCCAGUGAAGCAGGCCUGCCUCGUUUGUGGGUGGGUUGACGGUAGCUGGAUAAGAAGCGCCGGCUAACUACGUG